CUUCAAGCUGACCAGACACCCAUAGCUAAAGCUCCUACUUUCAGUCAUGUUAGCCAAGACUACCAACUUUUAUUUUACUGUAACUUAGAAAUAUUUUUCUGCAUACCACUUUGCUAUAUUUGCUGCCCACAUUGAAAUGUAAGUAAAUCGUUUUUUCAGUUAAUCUUACUAAAAACAUGUGGUUCGUUCUCUGCAACGGGGGUGGAGAAGGGGAAGAUAGGCAGACAAGUGAAAAUGAUAGAAAGGUGUAAUUGCCUAAUCCCUAAGCUUUAAUAAGCUGCAAAAAAAGGUGUUUUUACUCUACUAAGAAAGCUCCAAAGCUAGAUUUCUUUUGCGUUUCUCCCACAUGUGUAGGAUAGGAGGUUCAGAUACACAUUUAAUCCUCAAUCUAUUUCCUACAUAAUUAAAAGGUUUAAAAUUGGUUUAAAAUUACAGUGUAAACCUGCCCUUAAGGGAAUGAGUGGAAAUAGCUGUUCCUAAGUGGCUUAUUUGCAUGAGCAGCAUAACAUGGGAACAGAAAACCUCCACAAGAUCACAACUCCUGUUCUUGGGGGUGGGAGCAGAAACUGCUGCAUUUUUGCUGUAACACCUCUGCCUUAAUACAUUGCUUCCCCAUUAUAUACAUGUGUACACUUCUUUUAGUAGCAGCUUUCCUUAAGCUGACAGCAAGCUAUGUUGUCAAAACUGACAUCAUUCCUGGUCUCAGCACAGGAGAUUUCACCAUGAGAAAGGGGGCAAUAAAAUGAUCUCAAAUGUCUGGCCUCUCCAUCUUCAAAGGAAGACACUGACUUUUAAAUCCAUUUUCCCUCCCUACGUGACUUUGUUUUUGUUUUGCCUGUUUUAACUUUUCACUGCUAUUUUAACUAAAGGCAUGCUACACAGAGAUCCAUCCAAAUGUUCACAGAUAGCCGCAGACUCCCAUGAUUUCUUGCUAAGUAUGAUAUCAGUUUGUGUGACAUGUCAAUAUGACAAAUUGUCAACAAAAAGUCUAGAGGCCAACACCCACAUACACACAUGGGGGUCAUGGGGAAAGUUCAGAGGGAAAUGAAAUGCAGAAAUUACAGACAGUGAUAAUUCUGUUAUUAACAACGACCAUUCAAAAAACAGCUAUUGGUUAUUACACAGAGAUCAUGGCAUUGGUCAACUACUUAACACAAGUAGUGUGAUGAAAACAAAAACAAAACGCUUGUCCUAAUUUAAGCAACAGGAGGUGGUAUUGACCUUCUUGAUCAAGUGUAAUUCAGCAGUUUUAUGUUGCAAUCUCUCUUUGACAUCCAUGUGUUCAAGGAUGGCCACUUUGUGAUGGCUUGGUCAUGUGAAAAGAAUGGAAGAUGGCAGGAUCCCCAAGGAUGUGCUCUAUGGGGAGCUGGGCUCAGGCACCAGGCCCGUGGGCAGACCAACUCUGUGUAAUAAUAAUAAUAAUAAUUUAUUUAUACCCCGCCCAUCUGGCUGAGUUUCCCCAGCCACUCUGGGCGGCUUCCAGUCAAGUGUUAAAAACAAUACAGCAUUAAAUAUUAAAAACUUCCCUAAACAGGGCUGCCUUCAGAUGUCUUUUAAAGAGAGGAUAGCUGCUUAUUUCCUUCACAUCUGAAGGGAGGGCAUUCGACAGGGUGGGUGCCACCACCAAGAAGGCCCUCUAUCUGGUUCCCUAUAACCUCACUUCUCGCAAUGAGGGAACCGCCAGAAGACCCUUGGUGCUGGACCUCAGUGUCCGGGCAGAACGAUGGGGGUGGAGAUGCUCCUUCAGGUAUGCAGGACCGAGGCCAUUUAGGGCUUGAAAGGUCAGCACCAACACUUUGAAUUGUGCUCGGAAACGUACUGGGAGCCAAUGCAGAUUUCUCAGGACCAGUGUUAUGUGGUCCUGGCGGCUGCUCCCAGUCACCAGUCUAGCUGCCGCAUUCUGGAUUAACUGCAGUUUCCGGGUCACCUUCAAAGGUAGCCCCACGUGUUACAAAGAUGUCUGCAAAUGAGACACAAAGACUGGCAACAUCAACCCUGCUAUGUGGGAAUCCCUUGCAGAUGACCACAGUGCCUGGAGAAAGACAGUUGGUUCACGACCAGAGAAGGAAUGACCGCUGGGAGGAGUGCAGAGAGAAGAGAGGCCAUGUUGCAUCUGCACAACCAGACACCUCCAUCUGCCCCACCUGCAAUAAAACAUGUCUCUCCCGUAUUGGUCUCUGUAGCCACAGCAGGCCCUGUAACUUUCCAAUGGUUUGACUUCACCCCCAAAGGCACAUUCCUCCAUCAUCUCCCAAGACAGAUGAAUGACAGCUAACUGAUGGAAUGUUUGACAUGGCGAUGUAGAUCAACACUGGAUUCCUCCCCAUAAUUUUUGAAUUAAAAUAUUUAUCUACAUCAUUCAAAGCCAAAAAAGGGAGUACAGUGGUACCUCGGGUUAAGUACUUAAUUCGUUCCGGAGGGUCAUUCUUAACCUGAAACUGUUCUUAAUCUGAAGCACCACUUUAGCUAAUGGGGCCUCCUGCUGCUGCCGCGUCGCCGGAGCCCGAUUUCUGUUUUUAUCCUGAAGCAAAGUUCUUAACCUGAAGCACUACAGUGGUGCCUCGCAAGACGAAAUUAAUCCGUUCCGCGAGUCUCUUCGUCUUGCGGUUUUUUCGUCUUGCGAAGCACAGCUAUUAGCGGCUUAGCGGCUAUUAACGGCUUAGCGGCUUAGCGGCUAUUAACGGCUUAGCGGCUUAGCGGCUUUAAGAAAAAGGAAACAAACUCGCAAGAACUUGCAAGACGUUUUGUCUUGCGAAGCAAGCCCAUAGGGAAUUUCGUCUUGCAGAACGACUCAAAAAACGGAAAACCCUUUCGUCUAGCGAGUUUUUCGUCUUGCGAGGCAUUCGUCUUGCGGGGCACCACUGUAUUUCUGGGUUAGCGGAGUCUGUAACCUGAAGCGUAUGUAACCCGAGGUACCACUGUAUAGUUUUUCUCACAACCUAAAAGCAAAGAGAAGCAUGUUUGGUACCUGGAAUUUCCUGAAAUGUCUCUAACUACUUCCUUAGAAAUUGAGGAAGACUGCAUGUAAACGUUACAUCAAUUAAAAUCAGGUGUAGCAACACGGCAACAAGACUAGCAACACAAUCCGAACUAUGUCUCAUCAGAAGAAAAUUCUGUUGAAUUCUUCUGGGCCUGCUUCUUGCGAACUCUGGUAAAGAUUGCAGCCUAAGCUAUAAUUUGGUAUGUCUUCGGUUCAAUAAAACCUCAGUAAAAUUG